GCGCGCGCGCGCGUGUGUGUGCGUGUGUGCGUGCACACGUAUCGCAUUAAAAGUUUAUUCCCGAUGGUAAAAUUGUUAAGCCGACAAUUGAAAGGAAAUUCACUAUCGCAUGGCCAGGCUGUCGCGCCUGUGGUGGUAGUGCGCCGUUUAUACCUGUAAUAAUUUUAAUUUCUGACAAUAUACAUAUAUAAUAAGGAUCACUUUAGCACGAUCGCGAGUAACAAUCGUUCGAUCACAAUCUUCUUUGUAACAAAACAAAUGGUGUGGUGCGAAUCACUUUCAUUCAAAAUGUACGGCGUAUCAAAGAUGUUA